rnacentral:rRNA from 1 species
AUUGAACGCUGGCGGCAUGCCUUACACAUGCAAGUCGAACGGCAGCACGGGUGCUUGCACCUGGUGGCGAGUGGCGAACGGGUGAGUAAUAUAUCGGAACAUACCCUAGAGUGGGGGAUAACGUAGCGAAAGUUACGCUAAUACCGCAUACGAACUAAGGUUGAAAGUGGGGGAUCGCAAGACCUCAUGCUCAUGGAGUGGCCGAUAUCUGAUUAGCUAGUUGGUGAGGUAAAGGCUCACCAAGGCGACGAUCAGUAGCUGGUUUGAGAGAACGACCAGCCACACUGGAACUGAGACACGGUCCAGACUCCUACGGGAGGCAGCAGUGGGGAAUUUUGGACAAUGGGGGCAACCCUGAUCCAGCAAUGCCGCGUGAGUGAAGAAGGCCCUCGGGUUGUAAAGCUCUUUUGUCAGGGAAGAAACGGUCUACUCUAAUACAGUGGGCUAAUGACGGUACCUGAAGAAUAAGCACCGGCUAACUACGUGCCAGCAGCCGCCGUAA